rnacentral:rRNA from 1 species
GACGAACGCUGGCGGUGUGCUUAACACAUGCAAGUGGAGCGACGAACCAGGGCUUGCCCUGGGGCAGAGCCGCGAACGGGUGAGUAACACGUGGGUAACCUACCCCGAUGACUGGGACAACCCGAGGAAACUCGGGCUAAUACCGGAUGGGUCAGACGUCCCCGAGGGCGCCGAGCAAAGGAAGCGUCGGCCUCCGCCUCGGGAGGGGCCCGCGGCCCAUUAGCUUGUUGGUGGGGUAACGGCCUACCAAGGCUGCGAUGGGUAGCUGGUCUGAGAGGACGAUCAGGCACACUGGGACUGAGACACGGCCCAGACUCCUACGGGAGGCAGCAGUGGGGAAUCUUGCGCAAUGCGCGAAAGCGUGACGCAGCAACACCGCGUGAGGGAAGACGGCCUUCGGGUUGUAAACCUCUUUCAGGAGGGGCGAAGGCCGGCCGGUUAACAGCCGUGCCGGCUGACGGUACCUCCACAAGAAGCUCCGGCUAACUACGUGCCAGCAGCCGCCGCGGUAA